CUCUGCCUCCCAGGUUCAAGCGAUUCUCCUGCUUCAGCCUCCCUAGCAGCUGGGAUUACAGGGUCAUCUAAAUGAUGGCAGUUCCACCUUUCUUUAUGGCCACCUCCUGCAGGGACAGCAGACAGCAGCUUGUGGUUGGUCAGGAGAUGCUGGAAGACUGGAGGAAAGCUCCUGAUGGGGCAGCGAUGAGCAGAGGCUUGUGGACUGGACCUGUGUGGUUUCGUAGCAAUGAUAAGGAAACUAAACUGGAUUAAGUGCUAUCAUCUUGGAGGUGCAAAGGCAAACAAGGAGAAAGAAGUGAUUGAAGAGCACUUCAGAAAGCCUGGUACAUUCAAAUCAGCAGGGCUUGAUUACUCGCAUCCCAAGACACUUAAGGAAUUGGCAAAUAUAAUUGCAAGACCACCAGCCUUUAUUUUAGAAAAUGAAGGUUGGACAGAAGAAGGUCCUGACAAGUAGAAUCAGCAGAUGGAGUACCUGUUUUUUAAAACAGGGAAAAGGACAGCUGUAGUAAUUAUAGACUAUUCAGCUUAUCUUGGAUACCUGGGAAGAUACAAGAGCAAAUCAUCAAACAAUCAAUUUGCAACCACCUAGAAGAGCACAAGGAAUAUUGAUCUCAGCGUUACUUUGACCAUUAAUGAAUUAUGAUGGCAAUAAGCAAAGAUGUGCACCUCUAGCCUCCGGGGAGCUUAAUCUUCUGCUACAACGUUUGCAUUUAGACAGGGUGUCUCUCUGCUGCUCAGGCUGGAGUGCAGUGGUGCAAUCAUAGCUCACUGCAGCCUCGACUUCCUGGGCUCCAGUGACCCUCUCGCCUGAAACCGUACUCCCCCUCAAGCAGCUGAGACUACAGGCAGUGUUUAAGAAGGAUCCAGAAAUACUUCAAGCAAUGCCAGUGGUAGUGUUGCCUCCUCAGAAGACUGCUUUCAGGGGAACAGUAUACAUCUGUCCUGUAAAUUCUGGAUGGUUAUAAACUUCUGGAGAUCAAAGGCCUUGCUAGUCUAACUUGCUCUUUUGUAUGAUGAUGGAUGCUUUGAGGAUGGAAGGGGUACAAGGAAACCUGUAGACCAAGUGCAGCAGAAGGCCCAGGAUAGAACUCUAAGGAUGACAAGGAACAUGGUCCCAUCUCCAGGAGGCUGCAGUGUGGUUGGAGUGGCAAGACAUGGCAACAAAGGAGAAUAACUCAGUGUGUGAGAAGCCUACAGGAAAUGAGUGCUGUAGUAUUUCAGAGGAGAGCAAGAUUAACUCCUGAUGCUGUGAUCAAGGCAGUUUUCAUGAGAAGUGGCAUUUGAUUUGGGACUUGAAAGCAGGGGAGUAUUUUACUAGCUGGAAAUAUAAGUGGCAAAAGAAAAUAAAGGAGAAGGAGAGUGCAUUUCAUGUAAAUGGACUGGCAUGAACAAAUAAAGGAAAUAAUGUAUUUUAAUCAGUUUAUCCUUUUGGCAAAGAAACAGGGACAAUUUUUUUUGGGGGGGGGUCUAUAUUCUGAUAAAACACGGCAAUUUAGAGUAAGAAAGAGACUUUAGAGAUUAUCUCAUCAAAUGUCCUUAUUUUUCUAGGUAUGAAAACUGAGGUGCAGAAAUGAAUAACUAUUGAAAGUCACAAACUGCACUUCUCACACAGUAUUGAAUUCAUCUGUCCACCUGGCUCAUCAAACAAAUUGUUCCCUGAGUUCAAGGAUCAUGCUGCAUGCUGGAUUCCCCAGGAAGCUGCUUCUGAGAUGGAGUUUAGUGACCAAAAUAUGUAUGUGGGCCUUUGGAUCAUCACCUGUGGAAAGGAAGACAAGGAAACAGGAAUGGACCUAAGGUGAAGUGAAGCUCUGAUGCAAACCUGACAACUGUCUCACCUGACACCACGAAGAGCUCUGGAGCUGGAAUGGCCUUUCGUUGUUCUGAAUUAGUGUGAGGUAGCUAGGUCUUUACACCCCUGCCACCACCCAUUAUUGGGUAUGGGCCAACCAGGAAGGGGCAUGACCAUGAGUGAUGCAGCUCUGCAGCUGAAGCAGUACCUGAAGAGGCUGACAGCUGAGGGCCAUCUGCUGACAGCACUCCCUGCAGCUGGGCAGCACAUCCUUUCUCAAAAGGGGAUUAAGGCAGUUGCAUCUCCAUGUCCACCAUGGACUAUAUUUUUUUUCUUUGCAUUCCUAGGGCUUCUCAUAGUAUAUGGCACAUAGUAGGCAAAACUGGAGGUCUGUGUGGCAAAUUCAGCUAGUAGAUGAGUAUUGUUUUUCACCCACAAAGAGAUUUUUAAAAAUUAGUUGUCAACAUUUAAAAAUGAAAAGAUUUCAUAUUGAAAUUAUCAUAUUUUCUAGCUUUUCUUGAAAAAUCGAAACAUCUGGCCAACAUUAGAUCUUUUGCUGAGAUGGAAACUGUGGGCUGGAGCUGAGCCAAGAUUGUCCUCAGACAGGCUUGUGAGCUCAAGGUCUCCAGACACACACCUUCCCCACUCCUUGAGGCAUGGAACCCUGCCUGCUGCAUGCAUUUACGUUACCUGUUCCCUGCAGUCCUUUGAGUUUGCCACCCCUAUUAGUUAUUAAAGAAAUGUUUAUUGAACUGAGCAAACAUUAACAUCACUGCAUUACACUUCUCAAGGGAUAUUCAUGUACAUUCACUUAUUUAAUCCUUAAAACAACCCUGAAAACUAGGGUUUUUCAUCUGUAAAAUGGAGGUAUGAUCACCUCCAUUUUACAGAUGAGGACACUGAAUCCCAGAGUGGCUAUGACUGCCCAAGGUCUCUAGCUGGAA